UGAUGUAUUCGCUCUGAUUGUAGAUAGAUUCGAUGCGCAUGGAGGCCGAUUUGAGGGGCAAAGGCUUCCUGAGCUAGAGAUUUUGUAGGUUCGAGGUAAGUAAUGAUUGUAAAUAUUGUCCUGAGAGUUUAAAACCCUGGAUUACACAUCGUUGUGUUACUUUGAGGUGACUUACACGCUAGAUGACGAGCGUGGGGUGGAGCACCACUGGGGAUUGUGACCUAGUCCACCCCGAACGUUUAUUGUAAUGCAUAUUUGAGAGUUAAUUGUUUGAUGUUAUUAUAUUUUGGGUUGUAUGCC
rnacentral:lncRNA from 1 species